UCGAUUUUUCCUCGCUCGUUGCCGUCUGUGGGUGUUUUGGGCGGAUGCGUGUUCUGCUUGCGGCCCUUCAUAUUGUUCUUUUCUGGGUAUUUGAGUGACGCUCCGUCGCAAUUGGUUGCGGAAGUGAAGCGCUUUCGUUCGUUACCUGCCCAUCGGCAGGUGGCGUUUAGAUUUGUGGGACUACCAAUCGUCCGGGUCAACGUUACCAGAAUAGUGGACGCCGGACAGGAACCACCCGGCCGUUAUCGGGAGCAGGUGCUUCUCCCUGGCUUGAAGUCAGUGAGCGUGCGAACAUGUUGGUGCCUGGAGUGGUGAAUGGAUGUCCAGAAAACGCUGUGAUUGAUACAGGAUCCGCCGCUAGAUUGUUGUCAGAGGAUUUUGCCGACCGCCUACCUAAGGAGCUG